GUCCUGGCAGUAAACGGUGCGCGUUUGGUGUGGGAGGAUUCGACCCCUUCUGUGCCGGAGCUAACGCGUUAAACGCGCCGCCUGGGGAGUACGGUCGCAAGAUUAAAACUCAAAGAAAUUGACGGGGGCCCCGCACAAGCGGUGGAGUAUGUGGCUUAAUUCGAUGCAACGCGAAGAACCUUACCUAGCCUUGACAUGCAUCUCUAAGUCGGUGAAAGCCGGCGACUGUAGCAAUACAGAAUUUGCACAGGUGCUGCAUGGCUGUCGU
rnacentral:rRNA from 1 species